rnacentral:lncRNA from 1 species
UUUUUGAUUUUUAAUUCAAUAUUUUUAAUCAUGCCAAAAUGAAAGACUUCUUUGAAAUUAACUCUUUCAAGAACUGUCUUUUGUAUUAAGUCAAUUUUAUAUUCUUGAAAAUAGUAUUUGGUUUGCCUUGUUUUCAUCAAAAAUAACAUCAAAUUGAUUUCAUCAUCAUGCUUCUCAAUUGAUCACCACAUGAUUAUGAUACUAAUUUGAUGUAAUUUUUGAUGAAAGCAAUGUAUGCAUGGUAUUCAGAAGAACUUAAUGAGAGCAUGAGCAGUGCAUGUAUUCUGCAAUGCCAGGGCCAGGAUAUGUUCCAUUACUGUGUGUCAUCAUGUAGUGAGACAGGUAGCUAUACCCAUGUCUGAAUUCCAUCUUCCAUUGUCCCAUGAAAUCUCCUCCAUGUUCCAAGCUGCUCAUGCCAGUUCUGAGAAUUGGCAAGUGGUUUAUGAAAUCUCUACAGACUCUGGAUGCAUCAGAUUGCCUGGCACAUAGCACCUAACAGGGUGGUUGUCCUGCAUCAUAUCCAUGCCAUGACCAUCUUGAAACAUGCCAGAAGUGCUCUUCACUGGCUUCUUCCUUGAAGGCAUCAGCCCUCUGGCAGCAUCAGAGUCCAGGCUUGCAUGAAAGAUGCCAAAUUUUUUUAUUUGCACUGCUGGAAGGUAGUGUCUGCUCCAUGAGUACAUCUACUUAUCUUGAUGUGCAAGGGACUGCUUCCAUUUAUAAUGCUGCCUGUACUUCUCUACUCUCUGGAGUUUUCCUGCUUUGCUCUCUGUGGUCCUUGUCUUUAGCCUCAGCUUUAAAAUCAAACCUUUGGGGAAUUCUCUGUUUAAUCUUCUUUAGUUUAUCAUUGAUGUAUUAUACAUACUCACCCAUGUUCUUGGACUCCUGGAAAAUCUGAUGCUUACUGUUCAGAACUGUCUUCUUUAGCUGGGCAAGGGAUAUGCUAUCAAAGGACAAUGACUCUUGCAGAGCCUCAAUCAGCUUUAUGAUCAUUUUUCUCCUAAAUUCUGUGGUGAUGUCCAUUUGAGUGCUAGGUGUUUGCAAAAUUUAUGAGCAAGGCACCAAGAAGAGAGACCACAAUCUUUGGCAUUGUGGUGUCCCCAGAAUAUGGCAUGACCAUUGGAAGCCUGUCCUUCCCUUGUUUUCUCCAGAUCUUAUAAUCAUCAAGAGUCCAAAAUCUUGAUAAAUAAGCAAAAUCGGGCAAACAAAUCUUUCAAAACAAGUUAGAUCCAUUGUAUUGAAUUACUGCCAUUAUUUCACAAUAUA